rnacentral:tRNA from 1 species
AAGAGAUCCAAACCUAGAAAAGCUUCUAACUUUCCUCCUUAGCGGUCAAAUUCCGUUAGUUUCUUU